GCGCUCGCUUUAGCAGCACAUACAGCAAAUUUGGAAUGAGACAGAGAAGAUGAGCGUGGCCCUUGCACAAGGACGACAUCCAAAUUCAUGAAGCGCUCCAUAAAAAG
rnacentral:snRNA from 1 species